rnacentral:rRNA from 1 species
UUGGACCUGAUAUCAGCAGA